ensembl:lncRNA
UCUGGGUAUAGUCAAGUUGCUUGGUAAGCUCACCCUGGGGCUUAGUGAAGAGCCCAGGACAAAGAAUCAGCUUUUUAGGCAAACAUCUCUGGUUUUGUCUCUGCCAUUCGUUGAACUUAUGACUUCAUGUAAGUCCCUUCCUAUCUCUCAGUUCCAUAUCAGUGUAAGGAUGAGUCUGAAUCUCAAAGAGCCUUUCCAACUUUAAAGCUAUCAGGAUAUAAUAGUGAGCAGGAGAUCUGACAUCUGAUGAAUAGAGAUCCUGCCUAGAGACAUUUGGCCAUGUCUCUGAGCAGCAGUUUCCCUACCUGUAACAGUGCCUGCUCCCUAUAGACUGUGGUAAGGAUUAAAUGCAGUAAGGCACGUGAAAUACACAGUGGCACUUAGCAAGAACUCAGCUGGGAGACAAUCACACCUGCACCAACUUUGGUCUUCUCUCAGUGGCCUGGGUGAAUGUGCACUGGAAACCACAAGGUGGUGCUCGAGUUAAGGAUACUGGUUGCGGAAGAACGUUGCUUCGGGUGAGGAGAUUUCUGACAAGCAUUAACAGAUUCCUGGGACAGCUUGUCUAAUUAAGAUUUGGCUAUAUGGAGAAGGCAAACUACCAAAGUAAGCAGGGAUGAGUGAACAGGGAGGAGAACCCGGGCGUUGAGUGGCCCAUCUGAAAAGUAACUACAAUCUCUAACAUUUGUUGGACAGUUGCCAUGUACCAGGCAAGAUGCUAUGUCACGUGCAUUCUCUCAUUUAAUCCUUAGAAAAACAAUGUGCCUCAUUCUGUUGUAUAUCUGCCCAUUUGGUUCCAAAGCCAAUGCAAAUACAGGUCAUUCUUCGUUCAAGAAGAGAGAACAGGUGUUACUACUGCUAAGACCAGUCAACUCACCUCACCAACCUCUGCUUUCAGAGACAACCAACAACUUGGAUUGCAUCUGGAAGACAUUCAUCUAGCAGUUAUGUCCUUCCCUCAGAACAUGUAUGUUUUGACAGCUCAGUCACAGCCACAGUUGAGAAUGGAUAAAAGAAGCUCCCCUGAACUCUUAGAGGAUCCCUGUAAUUGAUCCAGCAUCUUCAAAGAAGAAUGUAUACACAUAAUGGAAUUUCUCAGACACUAGGGCAUCUGCCCCUGCUCUUAAAAAAAUAUGCUGUCAG